GGAGCACAAGGUCCAGGGUUUCACCUUCGGAGUUGGCUCAACCUUCAGUGAAACGCAGUAACCACACAGCAAAGCAUGGUGUGAAGACAAAGGCGAAGGAGGGCAGUAUGAAGCCUCUGACAUCCAGCAGUGCUGGGGUAGGGGAUGCAGUGUCUCCAGAAUCACUCGUGGCUACUGCAAAUGCUUUUCCUGUUUUCUGAAAUUCAUCCAGUCUCUUUCUACCCCACCACCAACAUGGCCACCCUCUAGAUUAUCCUUGAGCAUCUUGAGUCGGUGAUUUUACUGAAUAAACGUGGCAUUCCAAGUCAGUGAGUAAAAUCUUCAGGCCAAUGCUCAUUCAUGACCCAACUGAAGAGACAAAAGGAAAAUUAAAGUAUCUGUGAUCAGAAGUUUGGGUCUUUAGAUGGGGGAGGAACCCGAGAAGAUAUUCCACUGAUAUCCUGUUUUUCACCGACUAAUCUGAGGUCUAUUUGCCCCCAUGACACACCUGUGUCUUCUAAGUCAUCAACACUGGUCUACAGAUAAUGUGUUGGAAAUGCACGUUGUUGCAAAGGACAACCGUUUCUUUUCUUGAU